GGCUGCGACGGAUCCGUGCUGCUGGACGAGACUCCCGCCGACGGGACCGACACCGAGAAGAAGGCGGGCAAGAGCAUAGGCCUGGGCGGCUUCGACGUGAUCGACAGGAUCAAGGCAGAGCUCCUCCGGUCCGGCGACGACGCGUCGUGCGCCGACAUCUUGGCCUUCGCGGCACGCGACGCGGUCGGCGUCCUCAGCGGCGGACGGAUCAGGUACCCGGUGCGCCGCGGCCGCGGGGACGGCGUGACGUCGUCGUCCGCCGCCGCCGACGCGGCGCUCCCGUCACACACGCCGUCCGGCGGCUUCUCCGAGCUGGAGGCCAACUUCGCCGCCAGGGGCUUCGGCAAGGGCGACCUCGCCGCGCUCUGCGGCGCGCACGCGGUCGGCGUCUCACACGCAGCCUCCUUCGCCGAUCGCCUCGCCCCGUCGGUCGCCGCCGCCGGACAGAUCAACGGCACGUACCGGCUAGCCCUCGCCUCGCGGCAGGAGCUGCUGCCGCUGACGCUGAAUUAUUCGACGGCGACGUCGGAGAGCAUGAGCAUGAGCAACAACGUCCGCGACACGGAGCCGGCGUUCCGGGCGGCGUCCAGCUACAGCGGCGUCGGGGUGGACACGGCGGCCAGGGGCGCCCUGGACAACAGCUACUACACGGCCAACCUGCAGAACAUGGUGCUGCUCAAGUCCGACUGGGAGCUCACCCAGGACGAGCACACCCUGGGUCGUCUGGUGCAGUACAGGGACGACGCGGACAGAUGGAGCGAGGACUUCGGCAAGGCCAUGGAAAAGCUCAGCGACCUGGGGCCUCCCGUCGGGGCGCGCCUCGAGAUCAGGAAGAAGUGCAGGCUCACCAACCCGAGUCCUCGACAAGCACUUGUGCGCGCGCUGAAGCAUUUCUUACAAAGACGCCACGACCAGAUAUCUUGUUUGCUAAAACUUUUCAAUGCAGGGUUGGUGUUAGUCCUGUAAGUCUGGGCCGUGCCUAUUGGGCCAGCACGAGCCCGGCACGUUUUUAAAAGCACGAAGCCCGGCCCAGCACGGGAGAAGAAUAGUCGGGCCGGCACGGCACGUUCAUCGUGCUGGGCCGUGCUUUUGCUUUCGGCCCGACGGCCCACAUGACCCGGCACGGGAGCUUGGGCCGUGCCCGGAUCGGCCCGGCACGAAAUUCAG
rnacentral:misc_RNA from 1 species